rnacentral:rRNA from 1 species
UGGGGAAUCUUGCACAAUGGGGGAAACCCUGAUGCAGCGACGCCGCGUGAACGAUGAAGCCCUUCGGGGUGUAAAGUUCUUUCGACGGGAACGAUAAUGACGGUACCCGGAGAAGAAGCUGCGGCUAACUACGUGCCAGCAGCCGCGGUAAUACGUAGGCAGCGAGCGUUGUUCGGAGUUACUGGGCGUAAAGAGUGCGUAGGCGGUUGAUCAAGUUUUGUGUGAAAUCUCCCGGCUCAACUGGGAGGGUGCGC